rnacentral:rRNA from 1 species
ACCGGAGCUUGCUCCACCGGGAAAAGAGGAGUGGCGAACGGGUGAGUAACACGUGGGUAACCUGCCCAUCAGAAGGGGAUAACACUUGGAAACAGGUGCUAAUACCGUAUAACAAUCGAAACCGCAUGGUUUCGUUUUGAAAGGCGCUUUACGGUGCCGCUGAUGGAUGGACCCGCGGUGCAUUAGCUAGUUGGUGAGGUAACGGCUCACCAAGGCCACGAUGCAUAGCCGACCUGAGAGGGUGAUCGGCCACAUUGGGACUGAGACACGGCCCAAACUCCUACGGGAGGCAGCAGUAGGGAAUCUUCGGCAAUGGACGAAAGUCUGACCGAGCAACGCCGCGUGAGUGAAGAAGGUUUUCGGAUCGUAAAACUCUGUUGUUAGAGAAGAACAAGGGUGAGAGUAACUGUUCACCCCUUGACGGUAUCUAACCAGAAAGCCACGGCUAACUACGUGCCAGCAGCCGCGGUAAUACGUAGGUGGCAAGCGUUGUCCGGAUUUAUUGGGCGUAAAGCGAGCGCAGGCGGUUUCUUAAGUCUGAUGUGAAAGCCCCCGGCUCAACCGGGGAGGGUCAUUGGAAACUGGGAGACUUGAGUGCAGAAGAGGAGAGUGGAAUUCCAUGUGUAGCGGUGAAAUGCGUAGAUAUAUGGAGGAACACCAGUGGCGAAGGCGGCUCUCUGGUCUGUAACUGACGCUGAGGCUCGAAAGCGUGGGGAGCAAACAGGAUUAGAUACCCUGGUAGUCCACGCCGUAAACGAUGAGUGCUAAGUGUUGGAGGGUUUCCGCCCUUCAGUGCUGCAGCUAACGCAUUAAGCACUCCGCCUGGGGAGUACGACCGCAAGGUUGAAACUCAAAGGAAUUGACGGGGGCCCGCACAAGCGGUGGAGCAUGUGGUUUAAUUCGAAGCAACGCGAAGAACCUUACCAGGUCUUGACAUCCUUUGACCACUCUAGAGAUAGAGCUUCCCCUUCGGGGGCAAAGUGACAGGUGGUGCAUGGUUGUCGUCAGCUCGUGUCGUGAGAUGUUGGGUUAAGUCCCGCAACGAGCGCAACCCUUAUUGUUAGUUGCCAUCAUUUAGUUGGGCACUCUAGCAAGACUGCCGGUGACAAACCGGAGGAAGGUGGGGAUGACGUCAAAUCAUCAUGCCCCUUAUGACCUGGGCUACACACGUGCUACAAUGGGAAGUACAACGAGUCGCGAAGUCGCGAGGCUAAGCUAAUCUCUUAAAGCUUCUCUCAGUUCGGAUUGUAGGCUGCAACUCGCCUACAUGAAGCCGGAAUCGCUAGUAAUCGCGGAUCAGCACGCCGCGGUGAAUACGUUCCCGGGCCUUGUACACACCGCCCGUCACACCACGAGAGUUUGUAACACCCGAAGUCGGUGAGGUAACCUUUG